rnacentral:rRNA from 1 species
GGCUUAGAAGCAGCCAUCAUUUAAAGAAAGCGUAAUAGCUCACUGAUCGAGUCGUCCUGCGCGGAAGAUGUAACGGGGCUAAGCCAGUUACCGAAGCUGCGGAUUUGCAAUUUAUUGCAAGUGGUAGGAGAGCGUUCUGUACGCCUGUGAAGGUGGCUUGUGAAGGCUGCUGGAGGUAUCAGAAGUGCGAAUGCUGACAUGAGUAGCGUUAAAGCGGGUGAAAAGCCCGCUCGCCGUAAGCGCAAGGUUUUCUACGCAACGUUCAUCGGCGUAGAGUAAGUCGGCCCCUAAGGUGAGGCAGAGAUGCGUAACUGAUGGGAAACAGGUUAAUAUUCCUGUACCGAUGUAUAGUGCGAUGUGGGGACGGAGAAGGUUAACUCAGCCAACUGUUGGAUAUGUUGGUUCAAGCCUGUAGUCGUGCCUGGUAGGUAAAUCCGCCGGGCUUAGAUGAGGGGUGAUAACGAGACAGCUUGCUGUCGAAGUGAGUGAUACCCUGCUUCCAGGAAAAGCCACUAAGCUUCAGCUAUACACGACCGUACCGCAAACCGACACUGGUGCGCGAGAUGAGUAUUCUAAGGCGCUUGAGAGAACUCAGGAGAAGGAACUCGGCAAAUUGACACCGUAACUUCGGGAGAAGGUGUGCCCCAAGUCAGUGAACUCGUACAGAGGGAGCUAAACGGGGCUGCAAAAAAUCGGUGGCUGCGACUGUUUAUCAAAAACACAGCACUCUGCAAACACGAAAGUGGACGUAUAGGGUGUGACGCCUGCCCGGUGCUGGAAGAUUAAAUGAUGGGGUGCAAGCUCUUGAUUGAAGUCCCAGUAAACGGCGGCCGUAACAAUAACGGUCCUAAGGUAGCGAAAUUCCUUGUCGGGUAAGUUCCGACCUGCACGAAUGGCGUAACGAUGGCCACACUGUCUCCUCCUGAGACUCAGCGAAGUUGAAAUGUUUGUGAUGAUGCAAUCUCCCCGCGGAAAGACGGAAAGACCCCAUGAACCUUUACUGUAGCUUUGUAUUGGACUUUGAACAGAUCUGUGUAGGAUAGGUGGGAGGCUUUGAAGUGAGGAUGCUAGUUCUCAUGGAGCCAACGUUGAAAUACCACCCUGGUGUGUUUGAGGUUCUAACCUAGGUCCAUUAUCUGGA